rnacentral:rRNA from 1 species
UGGGGAAUAUUGCACAAUGGGCGAAAGCCUGAUGCAGCAACGCCGCGUGCGGGAUGACGGCCUUCGGGUUGUAAACCGCUUUCAGCAGGGACGAAGGUUUUCUGACGGUACCUGCAGAAGAAGCACCGGCUAACUACGUGCCAGCAGCCGCGGUGAUACGUAGGGUGCGAGCGUUGUCCGGAAUUAUUGGGCGUAAAGAGCUUGUAGGCGGUCCGUUGCGUCGGAAGUGAAAACUCAGGGCUUAACCCUGAGCCUGCUUUCGAUACGGGCGGACUUGAGGGAUGUAGGGGAGAACGGAAUUCCUGGUGGAGCGGUGGAAUGCGCAGAUAUCAGGAGGAACACCAGUGGCGAAGGCGGUUCUCUGGACAUUUCCUGACGCUGAGAAGCGAAAGCGUGGGGAGCAAACAGGCUUAGAUACCCUGGUAGUCCACGCCGUAAACGGUGGGCACUAGGUGUGGGACCCAUUCCACGGGUUCCGUGCCGUAGCUAACGCAUUAAGUGCCCCGCCUGGGGAGUACGGCCGCAAGGCUAAAACUUAAAGGAAUUGACGGGGUCAUAGCUGUUU